UUCUCUAGGUACUUAGAAAUGUAUAACUAAUUGUUACAGACCGUGGUCGCCCUACUGCGCCUUGUAACGCCGGAACUCCCUCCCCUCUCCCUGUGUUCUGGUGUCCAGUAUCUGCCCUCUCACUUUCUCCUCUGUCGGGUUCCUCCCUCCAGUGGCCUCUAUUCUACUCUCCACUUCUAUGUCAUCAACUUUGACAAUGUAUGUCAUCGAUCAUCAGGAAAUGGAAAUCGAGACCACAAUGAGAUGUCACCUCACACCAGUCAGAAUAGCUCUUAUUACACCAAACAAACAAAACAACAAUGCAGCUCCCUCUAUUUCUUUUGGGGGAAGGAGCAUGAGCACAUAGAAAGGUUUAAAGGAGGUGCUCGGUGGGGAGGAAGGGUCCAGAUGAACUAGAAGACGUUGGAAGAGGAGCCCCAGAGCGUGGCAGGGUCAUGUGCAGUACUCUCAGGUCUGCAGCCUGCUGUGUGGCCACAGGCUCGAGCCCUUGUCUUCCGUGUACACCCCCCCUUCCCUCUGUGGCAUCACCGUGGAGUGGAGUUGGCCCAGGGGCAGUUUCAUCCUGGGAUGCGAAGCCUUAAACCACACAGGCAGCCGCGAUGAGCCGCCAGCACCCGCAGGGCCGGGGGAGGCCAGGACCUCCCUGCGGCUCCUCUGCCGUGUGUCCCAGGAGCAAUGGACUAAGACGCUGUGAGGAUAAACAACAUUCCAAUUUCCCUCAAAAC
ensembl:lncRNA